ensembl:snRNA U6 U6 spliceosomal RNA
GUGCUGGCUUGCAUAGAACAUAUACUAAAAUUGGAAUGAUACAAAGAUUAGCAUGGCCCCUGUGCAAGGAUGACACAGAAAUUCGUUAAGUGUUCUAUAUUUUU